UUACAGUUAUCAUCACUAUCACUAUCUUUUCCACUAAUUUUCAGAUCCAAAGCUCAAUAUCUGGUCUUCAACUUCUUGCUUUUCUUGCAUUCCCGCUUCACUCUACUCUCUCUCUCUAAGCUUUUGCAAUGGCCGCCGAGAACAAUCACUCCUACAGCAAGUCCAAAGAAGUCUCCACAAUGUUAAAGCAAGGCUUCAUCUCCGAGACCUUUCUCUCUCCUCCCUCUGCACGAUCCCAGCUCUCUCUCUCUAGGGUUUCUCUCUCCCCUUCCCACUCUCUAUCCCCUCCGCCUUCCUUCUCCGACUCGCCCAUCCCGAAUCGUCCCAGCCCGAGCCGCCCGAGCCCAACUCUGUUCGACAUGAUGUCCGAGGAACAGACUCGGGAGUCGAAGCAGUCGAUCGAGAAUCGCCAGAAGGUCCAAGAACGCGUUUCUAGGGUUUUGGCCGACGCGCCCUUCCGGAACCCUAGCAAUUGGGGCGGUUUUGGGGACGUGAAGCUCACGAUCACUGCGCGUGACGGGUAUAGGGUUUCGAUGGACGUGCAUCGGCGAGUUCUUGCCGAUCGGAGCCGAUUUUUUGCGGAUAAGUUACGGCGGGAAUCUGUGGAGGUGUCGCAUUCGGUGGAGAUUUGUGAUUGUGACGAUGUGGAGGUUUAUGUUGAGACUGUGGUGUUGAUGUAUUGUGAGGAUUUGAAGAGGAAAUUAAUGGGAGAGGAAGUCAUUAAGGUCUUGGGAUUGUUGAAGGUGUCUGCUGCUAUCAUGUUCGAUGCUGGAAUAAAGUCAUGCUUAGAUUAUUUGGAAGCAGUUCCUUGGUCUGAGGAAGAAGAGGAAAAGGUGAUAUCUCAUCUCAGUCAACUCCAACUUCCUGACUCAGUGACUCAUGUUCUGCAGAGAGUAUCAACUGAACCAUCGACAUCUUCAAGUGCUGAUGACAUCUUCUUGAGACUGUUGACAGGUGUUCUACAGGCCAAGGACGAUAAAGCUCGUCGAGAAAUGAAAACUCUGAUUUCUCACUUGCUUAGAGAAGACACAUCCUAUCACAACAAAUAUGGGAAUAGGCUUGAUAUCUCUAAAGAUACACUUUAUAACCUUUGCCAUAGAUGUGUUAGUUCUCUUAUACUCUGCUUAUCAGAAGCUUCAGGCAUGGAUGACAGCAGACGGGAUCGGUGGGUUUUGAUGGGUGAGAUAGCUCGAGAAGCUGACAAUAUGCAGUGGAUUGUUGAUAUUCUAAUCAACAAAAAAAUGGGGGAUGAAUUUGUUAGAUUAUGGGCGGAUCAGAAGGAGCUUGCUAAUCUCCAUUCGAAAAUUCCCACCAUGUACCGGCAUGAAAUCAGCAGAAUCACAGCACAACUGUGUAUUGCAAUUGGGAGAGGGCAUAUUUUGGUGCCAAAAGACGCGCGUUAUUCUCUGCUGUCCACAUGGUUGGAAGCUCUUUAUGAUGACUUUGGGUGGAUGAGGAGGGCUAGUAGAUCGGUCGACAAGAAACUAGUUGAGGACGGACUAUGCCAAACAAUUCUUACGCUGCCAUUGCCACAACAACAGGCUAUCUUACUUAAUUGGUUUGAUCGGUUUCUUAAUAAAGGAGAUGACUGUCCCAAUAUUCAGAGAGCAUUUGAAGUUUGGUGGAGAAGAGCUUUCAUUAGACAAUAUGUGCCUGAGUCCCAAUUGCAGAUAACCAUAUGUGAUUUUCCAAAUUGAAAUCUAUGUUACUGGAUGUGCAUAUCAAAUAAUCCAAUUCAGCUAAUGUACAUAUGGAGUGACACUCUCGCGGUCAAGCUAUAUGCUAUUUUAUUUCGAUAAGAUUCAUUUGGAUUUUAGAUAGCUGUGAAGGUUGUUCAUAUUGUAAAUGCAGUUCUGCAAUAUAAAACAAUGUGUUGGCAAGAGCAUAGGGGAGAAAUGCAAUUGGGAGAAAAAGACAAUCCCUCAGUUGGAAUCAUUCUCCUUUUACAAAGGACCAAUUCAUAAGGCGUCUAAAUUCUAUCCUGAAAAACUGCUGACUCUAGUUGCCCUCAUUUAUGCCAAGAAGGAAACUUGUCUACUGUUUUGGUUACUCGUUUAUGGUCUGAACAUGGAUGUUGAGCACUCUGUGGAGGUUCGGGAUCGAGACAUCAGUUCAUAAUAAUUUUCUGCAACUGUGGCUCUAGUAGCAGUUUCCUUUCUGUGAAGUUAGUCAAGCUAAUCUCCUUCAUGUGUUCUUCCUAAAGAAAUUCAUGUCUCUCAGAAUGAUGCUUCUCAUUCCCUUGUUGCUUUGUUUGUUUUUGUUCAAGUAGCAUCUUCUCCAUUGUAGUUGGUAUUUUAUCCUUUGAAAUGAUUCGUAAUAGAAAAGAUUUGAGAGACAGAUUUCAUGUGGCCGACCCAUUUUAAAGCAAGCAUGAUGGUGAUGGUUGUCCCAAAAGGAAUUAAUCCUGUGGUCCAAAAACUGGUGAAUACAACCAUCAAUAAGAAUUUCAUCUUCAGACCAAAAAUAAUCCAGGGAUGGAAUACCACAAAGAGAAAGUGUGCCUAAUUUAAAAAUUUUAGUUUUGUAAUUGGUACAUGUUUUGUAAAACCCCCCAUAAGAACCAUGUUCUGAAGCAUCAAUUGUCCGUUGUUUCUUUUUGAAAGAGUUUUUUAUUUUUUAUAAGUCGAAGAGAAAUUUUUAGGUAUAAAAGAAAUUGUUAGUAGGUGGAGGGAAUAUUGCUUUUGUAUUGAUGAUACCUUUGAUGUCCAUUGUUUCUUUUGUUUUGAAAGGUGUUUAGGAUCCGAUAAAGUGGUCAAACUUGUAUCAUUUCUCUUUUGAAAGUGGAAUGGGUGUGAGGGUAACACGCAA